CCGCACUUUGUUUUGCCAAAAUUGGUCCAGCGAUUCUCCCGCAACCCGCACUGAAAGUUUUGGUUACCUCCUGGUUCAUGGACUCCAUCUCCCAUGAUCCCUCACGUCGGCUUCCUGCUGUCUGCUCACCGCCCUCCUGCCCUUGCUCACUCCCCGAAUCCCAACAUGUACGCCCACUCCCACAAAGAUAGGAACAACUAGGCCCAGUUACAUCCCCACUGUCCCAAUGCAAACCCCUCCCUAUUCUUUGCUAUGUGAAUGGUGCAGAUGCAGAGCUCCAUUUCACAGCCAGAAGCUUGCGGCGCUUACUUUACACACUACGCAUGCAUGUGGAGCGGUCCCUGAUUUGGCCACUGCUCUUUCUCUGACAUCAUUGAAGUGACCACACUGCAGCGCAAUUGGCCGGCAUAGAAAGAGGGGACCGCGGCACGCACAGCCAAUCACAGAUGAGCAGGGAUGAAUAUUCAAUAGGUGGGAGUGCAUGAAAACCGGGAGGUCAGGGAGAAAAAAGACGCGGAGCAUGCCGGGUAAGGAAGGGAUUCGACCACAAGAUGGCCGCCGCAAUAGAAACUAAUAGUGGUCGAAAAACUGAGUAACUGAGCACCUAUUGAACAUCUGGUAGGAAGACAAAAUGCAGGGGAGAAGACGAGCGCUGCAAUAUUGACAAUAGGAUGAGGAUCUGCUGACAAAUUAGGGAACAAAUGAUGUCCGGGCGUUAGACUCUGCAGAGAAGAUGUAACUGGAAGACGUCCUGACGUCCGGACAAGAUGAGGAAGAAAAGGAAAGACAACAGAGAAGACGUCACUCAGGUUUUAACAUCCAACACUAUUACUAGUGUCUGUAUAGAUAGUGGGAGUCCGGAAGGAAUAAUAUCAUGGCAUGCUCUGAUACAAGAUGAAAAGCACUCCGAGAAUGGAUGGAGGAGCGUCCAGAAACAAGAAAAAAGAGAGAGAAAAGGAGAUAACACUGUGAUUGGAAUGAUUUUUAAUUAUCCUCUCUUACUUUUUCUAGGUUCCCUUUUUCUUUCCCCUUUUCCCCCUUUCUCCCCCCCCCCCCCCUUCCUUUUUCCCUCUUCCCUCCCCUUUUUUCCUACCCCUCAUCCCUUUUUCUCCCUUUUAUUUUCUUUCUUAUUCUUCUCUAUACACUGUAUGGGGUUUGUUUAUGGAUUGCAUAUUAGUUUUUUGGUGAUAUUGUGAUGGGGUAGCACUAAUCUCUUUAUAUAUUAUAUUUUUAAUAAAAAUUUUCUGGUAUGUAAAUGGGAUAUUAUUAAUUGUUUUUUGAGUCACUGUCAUAUUAAUUGCUCUGUAUUGUUAUGUAAAAAAUUAUGAAUUAUGUAUAGUUAUUAUUAUAUUUGUAAUUUGAUACACUGAAGAAUUUACAUUGCACUGUAAUGUUGUGUAUAUAAUCAUGAAUUUUGUAUAUUUGCUAAAUUGCACUUUGUCAAAGCAUAUAUCUAUUAUUGCACUGUACAUUGUGUAAAUAAUUAUGAAAUUUUGAAUGGCAUUCUAAUAUAGCACAUUUGUCACUUUAAUAAUUGGCACGUUUCGGGUUGGUGGCGAUAGGAUGCACAGUAUGGCACUUUCUUAUUACUUAGCUGGACGCUUGAUUCCAAUGUGCACAUGCGCACCGUCGCACGGACCGGCGCCGUCGCUCCCCUUUGUCAGUGGAACGCAGACCGUCGUCCCACGUCAUUAUGACGUGGUUACGCCGUUCUGUGGGAUGACAUGGGGGGGAGACUGCGUGAUCCCAGCCAGUGACGUGGCGCAUGUGCCGGAUAUGGAGGCAGAGCGAUAGGAAGUCAGAUGAGCAUGCCGGAAGUGUGACUCACGCUUACCCCAUAUAAAAGACAGACACAUACACAGCAACAGUAGCAUCCUGAGGAAGGAGCGAAAGCGUGCUCGGGGUCCAGGCACAGCACCAGCAGCACACAUGGGUAAGCAGCUUGGAAGUUACUACUUGUUAUGAGGAGGACUCCUAUUAGGGAAUGAUAUAGUGCCAUACUAUGUACCUAUCUGCAUCCAGCCCCAGUGCAAUAUCAAGACUCAUGAUGCUGUGUGUUGCAAUUGGCGCAACCUAUAUUUGAUACAUACAUUCUGGCAUAUUUUGUUAUGUGGUGCUAGCCCUGGUAGUUUUUUAUGUCUGUAACUCUGUGAACAUCACUAUAUAAGAUAUAUAUGUUUU